GAUGAACGCUAGCGAUAGGCCUAACACAUGCAAGUCGAGGGGCAGCACAUGAGUAGCAAUACGAUGGUGGCGACCGGCGCACGGGUGAGUAACGCGUAUGCAACCUACCUGUUACAGAGGAAUAACCCGGAGAAAUCCGGACUAAUACCGCAUAACACUACGAUAUCGCAUGGUAUUGUAGUUAAAGAUUUAUUGGUAACAGAUGGGCAUGCGUGACAUUAGCUAGUUGGUGAGGUAACGGCUCACCAAGGCAACGAUGUCUAGGGGUUCUGAGAGGAAGGUCCCCCACACUGGUACUGAGACACGGACCAGACUCCUACGGGAGGCAGCAGUGAGGAAUAUUGGUCAAUGGGCGAGAGCCUGAACCAGCCAAAUCGCGUGCAGGAUGACUGCCUUAUGGGUUGUAAACUGCUUUUGUAAAGGAAUAACAACUCUCACGAGUGAGAGGAUGAAUGUACUUUAAGAAUAAGGAUCGGCUAACUCCGUGCCAGCCGCCGCAGUAACAC
rnacentral:rRNA from 1 species